GGGGGAUUAGCUCAGUUGGCUAGAGCGCCUGAUUUGCAUUCAGGAGGUCAAGGGUUCGACUCCCUUAUUCUCCAC
rnacentral:tRNA from 3 species